rnacentral:rRNA from 1 species
CAGGCUGCAACUCGCCUGCAUGAAGUCGGAAUUGCUAGUAAUCGCAGAUCAGCAUGCUGCGGUGAAUACGUUCCCGGGCCUUGUACACACCGCCCGUCACACCAUGGGAGUCGGUAACACCCAAAGUUGGUAGCCUAACCGCAAGGAGGGCGCCGCCUAAGGUGGGAUUGAUGACUGGGGUGAAGUCGUAACAAGGUAUC